rnacentral:tRNA from 1 species
GCCCCUAUAGCCCAAUUGGAAGAGGCACUAGGCUAAGAACCUAGUUGUUACUGGUUCAAGUCCAGUUAGGGGCA